ensembl:snRNA U6 U6 spliceosomal RNA
GUGCUUGCUUCAGCAGCACAUAUACUAAAAUUGGAACAAUAUGGAGAAGAUUAGCAUGGCCCCUGCACAAGGAUGGCAUAUAAAUUCAUGAAGCAUUCUAUAUUUUU